rnacentral:misc_RNA from 1 species
AAGGUGGGGCUGAUGACUGGGGUGAAGUCGUAACAAGGUAGCCGUACCGGAAGGUGCGGCUGGAUCACCUCCUAACAGGGAGACAAACAACGAUUUUGAUGUCUGAGUUUUUUUAUUCUUAGGCCAAAAUCCUGUCACCUUAGGUCGAUCGGUACCUCAACUUUGAAGCUAAGAGUAUUCAGAAAUGGAUAUCUGCUUAGUGGAAAUUUUUAGUUCCUAAACUUUGUCUAGUUCACAACCCAUUAGGGAUGAGACUCCUGGGCCAUUAGCUCAGGUGGUUAGAGCGCACCCCUGAUAAGGGUGAGGUCCCUGGUUCAAGUCCAGGAUGGCCCAUUCGGUGUAGGGGGUUUAGCUCAGUUGGUAGAGCGCCUGCUUUGCAAGCAGGAUGUCAGGAGUUCGAGUCUCCUAACCUCCACUGACUACCAAAAUCCCCAUCUCCAAAACCUGGAGUAUGAACUCGUAUGGAUUGUGAUUUAGAUGUGUCCGCUAGAUGACCCUAGCUUCUUGUCAUUUUAAGGCAUGGAAAAGAUUCCAUGAUAUUUAAUUGAUAGGAUGCUGGGCUCGAUUCAAUGUAUUGAGAGAUUAAUGCAUUGUUUUGAUGUCUGGUCGAACCUUGACAACUGCAUAGUAAGUCUGGAAAGAAUAAAGCAUCUUUAUGGAUGCAUCAUUCUUGAGUGUUAAUUCACGAUGGAGUGGUGUUAAUUCUAAAGCAAGAGCCGAGACUCCAGCAUGUUCUUUCAAAUGUGUCGAGCAUUUGAGAGUUUGAUUUUAAUUUCUAUUUUUAGAAGUUAGAAGAAUCUGUUUCAACGACAGCAAGCGUGUUGGAGAUACAUUGGUCAAGCUACAAAGGGCUCA